CACGUUUCAACACCUUUUCUCUCAUACAGCGCCUUUACGUCUCCUUUUUUUCUACCCUAAUCCUAGCCGCCGCAGCCCCUUCUCUCUUUCUCUUCGUCUUCUCUCCUAUCUCUUUUUUGCUGAAACCGUAAAAACACUGCCGCCGCUGCCUUUCUCCUCUUACUUUGUAAUCUCUCCUUUUUCAGAUCAAGAUCCUCCAUUCUCUCACGUCAAUUUUGAGACUUAAAAAACAGAUCCAUUUCUUCAUCCAUAUCCAACAUCUUGCCAUUUCAUCUGAGGCAAACUCCUGUUUUCAUGGAACUUAAUCUCCAUUUCAUGAUUUCAUGGUUUUUUCACUCCUCGCGGAUACCAACAUCAUGGUUUUUUAAGAUCCACGGGUCACUCUUCACGAAAAUGAAGAAAAAGACAGAAAGAGGUGAAGAGGUAGAAGACAACAAAAGACAUUCAACACCAAUGGAACCCGUACUUUGGCACCGAGAGAGUGAGAUCCAUAGUGUUACAUGUUCUGGAGUUUAGUAGCCGCGUGUGACCUAGCCGGAGGUUCUUCCUUGGUUAUUGGAGACUAGCAUUGUCAAAUAUUAAUGAGGACAAAACAACACCAAUGGAUGGGGAAGACAAAAGCAACCAAGAUAAGUCAAAUUUCAUUCGGUGAAUAAGUUUCCUUACUUUUGCACUCUUCAUGUUUGAUAUAAUGCUUCUUUGAACUUUUACUUAUAACUCAACUUUUCAAAUAAUGUUUAUAAAACUGAGAUUUUAUUUUAUUUUGUUUAAAUUUUAUUUUGUAAUUUGAAGUUUAUGAUUAAUCUAAUAUAAAUUAGUAGUUUAUGAUUUAUUUUUUUAUUUUUUUUAAAACUGAGCUUUUAUUUCAUUUUGUUUAAAUUCUUAUUCUGUUAAUUCAUGUUCAUAUCUUGGAGCUUGACUUAGUUUAGCAUGAGUUUUGAGCUUGUCUAUAUUUCCUUACAGAAAUUGCUUGGUGCUGCUGGAUUGUUUGUAGGAUCAGUAGUCCUGAUGCGAAAUUAUGGCGACCUUAUGGCAAUCUAAGAGUAGAAGACUUU